UACGAAGGGGGCUAGCGUUGCUCGGAAUCACUGGGCGUAAAGAGCUCGUAGGCGGUUCGACAAGUCGGGUGUGAAAACUCCGGGCUCAACCCGGAGACGCCACCCGAUACUGUCGUGACUGGAGUCCGGUAGGGGAGUGGGGGAAUUCCUGGUGUAGCGGUGAAAUGCGCAGAUAUCAGGAGGAACACCCGGUGGCGAAGGCGCCACUCUGGGCCGGUACUGACGCUGAGGAGCGAAAGCGUGGGUAGCAAACAGG
rnacentral:rRNA from 1 species